GAUGAACGCUGGCGGCGUGCCUAAUACAUGCAAGUCGAGCGAACGGACGAGAAGCUUGCUUCUCUGAUGUUAGCGGCGGACGGGUGAGUAACACGUGGAUAACCUACCUAUAAGACUGGGAUAACUUCGGGAAACCGUAGCUAAUACCGGAUAAUAUUUUGAACCGCAUGGUUCAAAAGUGAAAGACGGUCUUGCUGUCACUUAUAGAUGGAUCCGCGCUGCAUUAGCUAGUUGGUAAGGUAACGGCUUACCAAGGCAACGAUGCAUAGCCGACCUGAGAGGGUGAUCGGCCACACUGGAACUGAGACACGGUCCAGACUCCUACGGGGGGCAGCAGUAGGGAAUCUUCCGCGAUGGGCGAAAGCCUGACGGAGCAACGCCGCGUGAGUGAUGAAGGUCUUCGGAUCGUAAAACUCUGUUAUUAGGGAAGAACAUAUGUGUAAGUAACUGUGCACAUCUUGACGGUACCUAAUCAGAAAGCCACGGCUAACUACGUG
rnacentral:rRNA from 1 species